rnacentral:rRNA from 1 species
UACGUAGGGACCGAGCGUUGUCCGGAUUCAUUGGGCGUAAAGAGCUCGUAGGCGGCUGCUCAAGUCGAAUGUGAAAACUCGAGGCUCAACCUCGAGCCUGCAUUCGAUACUGGGCGGCUAGAGUCUGGUAGGGGGAUCUGGAAUUCCUGGUGUAGCGGUGGAAUGCGCAGAUAUCAGGAGGAACACCCGUAGCGAAGGCGGCACUCUGGGCCGAUACUGACACUGAGGAGCGAAAGCGUGGGGAGCGAACAGG